GGGGGCGAAACGGUUUCGACGGGGAUGUCGAUGCUCGUGGGUUGCGUGCCGAGGCCCUGCACCUCGUAAAAAGCGGGAAACCAAUAGUCGCCAACGACUAUCCGUUAGCUCAGGCGGCUUAAGCCGCCUGCCUCCGACCGUCGAAUGCCCGUAUAGGCGCGAAGGAGGUCACUCUCACGGGAUAGCCUGAAGCCUCCUCCCGGGGGGCCGAAGGCGAGCCUUCUCCCGGGAUGGUCCGAAGGGAACCCUGCCGGCCGGGGUCCCCGGGGACGAGACCCAAACGACCGGAAACGCACGUAGUGGCCCUGAGUAAAGAAUCUUCGGACGGGGGUUCGACUCCCCCCGCCUCCACCA
rnacentral:tmRNA from 1 species